rnacentral:rRNA from 1 species
GGAAUGGCGCAGCUACACAUGCAGUCGAGCGGUAGCACAGAGAGCUUGCUCUCGGGUGACGAGCGGCGGACGGGUGAGUAAUGUCUGGGAAACUGCCUGAUGGAGGGGGAUAACUACUGGAAACGGUAGCUAAUACCGCAUAACGUCGCAAGACCAAAGUGGGGGACCUUCGGGCCUCAUGCCAUCAGAUGUGCCCAGAUGGGAUUAGCUGGUAGGUGGGGUAACGGCUCACCUAGGCGACGAUCCCUAGCUGGUCUGAGAGGAUGACCAGCCACACUGGAACUGAGACACGGUCCAGACUCCUACGGGAGGCAGCAGUGGGGAAUAUUGCACAAUGGGCGCAAGCCUGAUGCAGCCAUGCCGCGUGUGUGAAGAAGGCCUUCGGGUUGUAAAGCACUUUCAGCGGGGAGGAAGGCGGUGAGGUUAAUAACCUUGUCGAUUGACGUUACCCGCAGAAGAAGCACCGGCUAACUCCGUGCCAGCAGCCGCGGUAAUACGGAGGGUGCAAGCGUUAAUCGGAAUUACUGGGCGUAAAGCGCACGCAGGCGGUCUGUCAAGUCGGAUGUGAAAUCCCCGGGCUCAACCUGGGAACUGCAUUCGAAACUGGCAGGCUAGAGUCUUGUAGAGGGGGGUAGAAUUCCAGGUGUAGCGGUGAAAUGCGUAGAGAUCUGGAGGAAUACCGGUGGCGAAGGCGGCCCCCUGGACAAAGACUGACGCUCAGGUGCGAAAGCGUGGGGAGCAAACAGGAUUAGAUACCCUGGUAGUCCACGCUGUAAACGAUGUCGAUUUGGAGGUUGUGCCCUUGAGGCGUGGCUUCCGGAGCUAACGCGUUAAAUCGACCGCCUGGGGAGUACGGCCGCAAGGUUAAAACUCAAAUGAAUUGACGGGGGCCCGCACAAGCGGUGGAGCAUGUGGUUUAAUUCGAUGCAACGCGAAGAACCUUACCUGGUCUUGACAUCCACAGAACUUUCCAGAGAUGGAUUGGUGCCUUCGGGAACUGUGAGACAGGUGCUGCAUGGCUGUCGUCAGCUCGUGUUGUGAAAUGUUGGGUUAAGUCCCGCAACGAGCGCAACCCUUAUCCUUUGUUGCCAGCGGUUAGGCCGGGAACUCAAAGGAGACUGCCAGUGAUAAACUGGAGGAAGGUGGGGAUGACGUCAAGUCAUCAUGGCCCUUACGACCAGGGCUACACACGUGCUACAAUGGCAUAUACAAAGAGAAGCGACCUCGCGAGAGCAAGCGGACCUCAUAAAGUAUGUCGUAGUCCGGAUUGGAGUCUGCAACUCGACUCCAUGAAGUCGGAAUCGCUAGUAAUCGUAGAUCAGAAUGCUACGGUGAAUACGUUCCCGGGCCUUGUACACACCGCCCGUCACACCAUGGGAGUGGGUUGCAAAAGAAGUAGGUAGCUUAACCUUCGGGAGGGCGCUACCACGUGAUCGUGCCG